AGUGAACGCUGGCGGUAGGCCUAACACAUGCAAGUCGAACGGCAGCACAGUAAGAGCUUGCUCUUACGGGUGGCGAGUGGCGGACGGGUGAGGAAUACAUCGGAAUCUACUUUUUCGUGGGGGAUAACGUAGGGAAACUUACGCUAAUACCGCAUACGACCUACGGGUGAAAGCAGGGGAUCUUCGGACCUUGCGCGAUUGAAUGAGCCGAUGUCGGAUUAGCUAGUUGGCGGGGUAAAGGCCCACCAAGGCGACGAUCCGUAGCUGGUCUGAGAGGAUGGAACAGCCACAGGGGAAGUGAGACAGGGUCCAGCCCCCUGCGGGAGGCGGCGGGGGGGAUUAUGGGACAAUGGGCGCAGGCCUGACCCAGCCAUCCCGGGUGGGGAAAGAAGGCCUUGGGUUUGUAAAGCCUUUUUGUUGGGAAAAAAAAGCAGCAGGUAAAUACCCCGCUUUUCGGACGGUCCCAAAAAAAUAAGCACCGGCUAACUUCGUG
rnacentral:rRNA from 1 species